rnacentral:misc_RNA from 1 species
GAUGAAGAACGCAGCAAAAUGCGAUAAGUAAUGUGAAUUGCAGAAUUCAGUGAAUCAUCGAAUCUUUGAACGCACAUUGCGCCCCCUGGUAUUCCGGGGGGCAUGCCUGUUCGAGCGUCAUUACAACCCUCAAGCUCUGCUUGGUAUUGGGCCCCGCCAGUUCUGGCGGGCCCUAAAGUCAGUGGCGGUGCCUUCCGGCUCCGAGCGUAGUAAUUCUUCUCGCUCUGGAGACCCGGUUGUGUGCUUGCCAACAACCCCCAAUUUUUUAAGGUUGACCUCGGAUCAGGUAGGGAUACCCGCUGAACUUAAGCAUAUCAAUAAGCGGAGGA